rnacentral:pre_miRNA from 1 species
UUUCCUGCCCUCGAGGAGCUCACAGUCUAGUACGUCUCAUCCCCUACUAGACUGAAGCUCCUUGAGGACAGGGAUCGUCAUACUCACCU